rnacentral:pre_miRNA from 1 species
UCUCCGUCCAAAAAGACUGUUUAUAUCCAACAUUUGGUCGUUUGUUUUAUUUAAAAAAUUUUAAUGAUUAGUAUUUUUAUUGUUUAGUGAUAAACCAUGAAUAAUACUUUAUAUGUGACUAUUUUUUUAAAAAAAUUCUUCAUAUUUUUUAAAUAAGAUAGACGGUCAAACGUCGGAUACAGAAGCCCACAACUGUAUUUAAA